GAUGAACGCUAGCGAUAGGCUUAACACAUGCAAGUCGAGGGGCAGCAUGGUCUUAGCUUGCUAAGACUGAUGGCGACCGGCGCACGGGUGCGUAACGCGUAUGCAACUUGCCUCACAGAGGGGGAUAACCCGUCGAAAGACGGACUAAUACCGCGUACACUCUAUUUUGGGCAUCCAAGGUAGAGGAAAUGAAAUUCGCUGUGAGAUAGGCAUGCGUCCCAUUAGCUAGUUGGUGAGGUAACGGCUCACCAAGGCGACGAUGGGUAGGGGAACUGAGAGGUUGAACCCCCACACUGGUACUGAGACACGGACCAGACUCUUACGGGAGGCAGCAGUGAGGAAUAUUGGUCAAUGGGCGAGAGCCUGAACCAGCCAAGUCGCGUGAAGGAUGACUGUCUUAUGGAUUGUAAACUUCUUUUGUAGGGGAAUAAAGAGGGGCACGUGUGCCCCAGUGAAUGUACCCUACGAAUAAGCAUCGGCUAACUCCGUG
rnacentral:rRNA from 1 species